UCCAUUGAAAGGCAGGCCAAAAGUGGCCC
rnacentral:sRNA from 1 species